GUCCACGCCGUAACGAUGUCGACUAGCCGUUGGGAAACUUGCUUUCUCAGUGGCGUAGCUAACGCGCUAAGUCGACCGCCUGGGAGUACGGCCGCAAGGUUAAACUCAAAUGAAUUGACGGGACCCGCACAAGCGGUGGAGUAUGUGGUUUAAUUCGACGCAACGCGAAGAACCUUACCUGCUCUUGACAUGUCGAGAACUUUCCAGAGAUGGAAGGGUGCCUUCGGGAACUCGAACACAGGUGCUGCAUGGCUGUCGU
rnacentral:rRNA from 1 species